GUGCGAGACCGAUAGCGAACAAGUACCGUGAGGGAAAGAUGAAAAGAACUUUGAAAAGAGAGUUAAAGAGUACCUGAAACUGCUGAAAGGGAACCGAAUCGUAUCCUGUGUCUAUAAUCCAUGGCAUAUUUCAUUGGCGAGUGAGUGCGUGCAGCGUUUUGGAAGUGGUUUUCCGCUCCUGUCGUUGGUGUGCAUUUGCUUGCUGGUGCCCUGUGCUGUGGUGGGACGUCAGAGUCAGUUUGUAUGUUGCGGGAAAUGGUUAUUGGGGAGGUAGGUCACUUCGGUGGCUGUUAUAUCCUGGUAACUAGUCGUCGUGGCUGAGACUGAGGUGCCUACAAUGUGCUUUCGAGUGUGCGGGAUUCUCGUGUGGCUGUUUGCUUUGAUAGCUUGCUGUGUUGGUGAAUAAGUCGUGCGAUUGAGACUUGUAUUAACUUGUUGCUGUUCGGGACUUUGA
rnacentral:rRNA from 1 species